rnacentral:rRNA from 1 species
UACGUAGGGGGCGAGCGUUGUCCGAAGUUACUGGGCGUAAAGCGCGCGUAGGCGGGGAAUUAAGUGAGAGGUGAAAGGCUGGGGCUCAACCUCAUGCAGUGCCUCUCAUACUGGAUGGCUUGAGUUCGGGAGAGGGAUGUGGAAUUCCAGGUGUAGCGGUGAAAUGCGUAGAUAUCUGGAGGAACACCGGUGGCGAAGGCGGCAUCCUGGACCGACACUGACGCUGAUGAGCGAAAGCCAGGGGAGCAAACGGG